AGCCACAGCCAUAUCACCCUGCAGCCCAAGACCUUACUGAAGCUAUGCAUUGUUGAGUCUGUUCAGUACCUGGAUAGGUGACCAUUUGGGAAAACCGGGUUGCUGUUGGAA
rnacentral:rRNA from 1 species